CUUGGAGAAUGGGUGAGGAACAAACAAGGAAGAGGGGCAACAGGAGAACGAACCAGGAAGAGUAGCAGUUGAAGAGUAGCAACUGAAGAGGAAAGAACGAACCAGGAAGAGGGGCAACUGGAGAGGAACGACGAACCUAGGAAGAAGGAUUUCGGUCCCAUUGGAAAGGAACGAACAGAGGUACAACGAAGCCAGGAAGAACAAUUUCGACCAGUUGUUCAAAGUGCUUGUCGUGUUGUGUGCGAUGUCAAUGCAGUCUUCGGCAUCUAGAGGUUCCUACCUCAAAUACAAGAAUAAAAUAUGCAAAUGUGGCCAGAAAACUAUAGUACGAACCUCCGAUUCAGUAGACAACCCUCAUAGGCUAUACUUCUUUUGUGCUAGAUGAUUGGUAUGUGUAAUGGAAUUUUAUUUUCCUUCUUGAUUUGUGAAACUAUGAUUUAGAAAAAAGUGUAAUUUUUUUUCCUGGUGCAACCCUUCUGAUGAAGAUGAUGACCAAGAUAAUUAUCCAAUGGUGAUGGAGCAAUGAAAAGAGGUAACCAAUCCAGAAUUGAAGGUCAUGACGCUAGAAAUAGUGGCUUAGUUAUAUGAGAUGAAAGGAGUGCUGGCUAACUUGGGUGCAAAGAUGGAUGGACAAAAGUCAUCAUGCAAACAAACAAGUAAUAUGGCAGUGGUGGCUAUUUUCUUUAUCGUCAUUUGGGCCACCUUCAAGGUUCUCUAAUGUUACAAGUCUAAGAGAGUCUUGGUUUUGUGGAUAUGUAAUCGAACAUUUAGUUCUCUAAUGGCAGUGGUGGCUAUUUUCUCACGAAAUGAUGAGAAGGAAACA